rnacentral:rRNA from 1 species
AGAGAGAGACAUGCGCGCAUAUCAAUAAGCGGAGGAAAAGAAACUAACUAGGAUUCCCUCAGUAACGGCGAGUGAAGCGGGAGGAGCUCAAAUUUGAAAUCUUAAAGGGUUUCCCUUUACGAAUUGUAGUUUAAAGAAGUGUUUUCUGUUGAGGUUUUGGUAAAAGUUCUUUGGAAUAGGACAUCAUAGAGGGUGAGAAUCCCGUAUUUGACCAUUAUUUCCAGCUUUGUGAUACACUUUCAAAGAGUCGGAUUGUUUGGGAAUGCAGUCCAAAAUGGGUGGUAAAUUUCAUCUAAAGCUAAAUAUUGGCGAGAGACCGAUAGCGAGCAAGUACCGUGAGGGAAAGAUGAAAAGAACUUUGAAAAGAGAGUUAAACAGUACGUGAAAUUGUCAAAAGGGAAGCGUUUGACACCAGUGUUGUUUUCUCGAGAAUCAAUUAAAAAAGGCAGGAUUUUGUGUUGUAUUGACUUUAUCAGCUUUCUGCACUCUUUUCUUGUCUUUUUUUAAUGCACUUUUCGUUUAACAAGUCAACAUCAAUUUCUUUUGUUGUAAAAGGGUCAUUGGAAGGUGGCUUUCUUUUCGGAGAAAGUGUUUAUAGCCUUUGGCCUCUGCAAUCGGAGAGAUUGAGGUCUGCAGCGUAGAUCCUUCGGGGUUAGAUACAUUUGUGCUAAGUUAUAGCCUUUUCAUAGACAACUUGUUGACUAUGAUCAGUCAUGUAGCUUACUCGCUUAUGCUAUUUUACCUACGCUUAGGAUGUUGAUGUGAUACUGCGAGCA